AGUGAACGCUGGCGGUAGGCCUAACACAUGCCAGUCGAACGGCAGCACAGUAAGAGCUUGCUCUUACGGGUGGCGAGUGGCGGACGGGUGAGGAAUACAUCGGAAUCUACUUUUUCGUGGGGGAUAACGUAGGGAAACUUACGCUAAUACCGCAUACGACCUACGGGUGAAAGCAGGGGAUCUUCGGACCUUGCGCGAUUGAAUGAGCCGAUGUCGGAUUAGCUAGUUGGCGGGGUAAAGGCCCACCAAGGCGACGAUCCGUAGCUGGUCUGAGAGGAUGAUCAGCCACACUGGAACUGAGACACGGUCCAGACUCCUACGGGAGGCAGCAGUGGGGAAUAUUGGACAAUGGGCGCAAGCCUGAUCCAGCCAUACCGCGUGGGUGAAGAAGGCCUUCGGGUUGUAAAGCCCUUUUGUUGGGAAAGAAAAGCAGCAGGUUAAUACCCCGCUGUUCUGACGGUACCCAAAGAAUAAGCACCGGCUAACUUCGGG
rnacentral:rRNA from 1 species